rnacentral:tRNA from 1 species
GCAGUGUUGGUUCAUUGGUAAAAUUCUCACCUUCCAUGUGAAAGACCCUGGUUCAAUUCCCAGCCAAUGCA